rnacentral:lncRNA from 1 species
ACUUUUUGAGUGUAUACACAUAGAAUGUUUAUGCACACUACUCUGUAGUGAGGUAUGUUGUACCUCCUCCCCCUCUCUAAAUUUUGUACGAAUAGGUUUCCUUAAGAUGUGUUAUUUAAUCAGGAAACGAUUGUAAUAGUAAUUAGAAAGUAGUUUAUGUUCUUCAGUAGGUCAUGAAUUUGAAUGAACCAACAUACGAAUUUAUUUUUAUAAUAUGUGGCAUUAGAAAGUAUUCAAGACCCGGUGUUUCCUGAGUAAAUUAAAACAGUUGGUCAUUUACAAACAGUAAAACUAGGAGACCUAUGAGCCUCCCAUAAUGCUUUUACAUUGCUAGUCGGAUGAUUGCCUCGAUCACAUGCCAUGUGGAUGUCUUCACAUGUCUCGUGGGUAGCUUCUUCGUGGAACUAUCUAGGCCUUCUAUGGUUUAUCAAAUCGUGUUGUUUAUUGGAUUAGUGGACUGGCUUCACCCAAUAAAGCAUAAAAUAUAUACGCCCAAAAAGUACAUAGAUGUAUGUGUUCCCAUCACAACGUGCUUUCAUCCCUGUUGCGUCGACAUACCCCACGUGCGCGUGGGAGUGACGACGAGGUCUAGCAGCAUGGAAAUCAAGAGGUGAUAAAUGAUUAAAUCGGUCAUGGCAGUAUGAUAGAUACGGUCGGGAUCUCUCGAGGUGAUGGUUUCAUCCUUCGUUAAACUAGAAUCAAACCACCUUGCUUCUUGUAUGCACAACUAGGUUACAAUCUGCAGUCAGCUCAUGUAUCCCCUUUUUAUGCAAGUAUUGGAAAAAUUGUGAUAUCUAUAAAUUCAAUAACUGAAAGAUUGUAAGUGCUUGCUAUUUCAGAAUAAAAAAAAUCUCCAGCUCUAUUCCUGGUAACUUAUGUAGGCUAGGGAUGAUAUAUGUGCUUGGUAUGUGAGUGAGUCAUCAUAGUGAGAGCAUCCCAAGUUUAGAUGGCAACCUCAAGAGCCUCAGUCUCAACCCUAUGUAAGAUUUAUUUCACUUGUUCUUGAUCGAUGAUCCUUCUUGAUUAUACAACAACUAUCAUGAUUUCUUCUUGUUUUGUCGUCGAGUGAAAUUGCACAACAACUUAUCUAGAGUUUUAUUCCAUCAAAGAUACUUAUCUUGUCAUUCUGGACUAUCAUUUAUAUGUUUGGAACCCCUUUUACUUAUUCAAGUUUUUUGUCACCCUGUUAGUGUAUUGCAAUAAGCCGCUUGAAUUAGCAUCUUCCAUAGAAAUCUUUGAUUUAGUAAUCUGAGCAAUCCCCUAUCCCCUGGCAAAUUCUAAUCCUCGUGACAAGAAUUAUUUACUAUCAUAUUGUUUUUAUCGUUGUCCAAUAUAUGGGCUAGUUCAUGCAAAUUUAACUUAUAUAUUUUAAGUUUAUGUGAUAUUUGAUCAUUUAUUGGAUAAAUAGGAGGUCGUAGUGCCGCAUACCAUCAUGGUAUAGUUUCUCCUAGAAAACACAUGUGGUCCUACAUCUCUAUGGUUCCCCUAUAACAUAAUCCCUCCAUUCCAAUGAAUAUGGUGCACGCACUUCCCAAAACCAACCUUUGACCGUAAAUGCGAUUAAUAAUAAUAAUUUUGUGACUUAUAAAUUAUACCAUUGACAACUUAUUUUUAAUACAUAUUAAAUGCUCUAAUUAUUAUCACAUAUAAUCCAUAUUUGGUUGGUCAAACUGAUGGUCAAAGCUAAAUUUUGGGAAGCAUGCAUGCCUUAUUCACUUGAAUGGAGGGAGUAGGAAAAAUUCAAGCUUUUGCAUGCAUGCACGCAUAUCUCCAAUUAUUGAAUGGCAUGAAAACGAUACUGCAAGGAUUGUAUAUAUAUUGCCUUUAUUGUUCUAUCUACUUUAUGGUAUUGAUCUCAUGUGUGUAAUUGCAUUCAGUGGUUCAUUACAGGUUCAACGAUGACUCACGCAUAUUAGCCAACAAUUUCGAAUAAACGUAUAAUGACAUUUUAAUAUAGUAGCUCAAAACCAAGCAAUGUGUUAGUGUUUAGAACGUUAAGAAAUAC